GACGGAGGGUGCAAGCGUUGUUCGGAAUUACUGGGCGUAAAGCGCGGGCAGGUGGCCUUUUAAGUCCUUUGUGAAAUUCCGGAGCUCAACUCCGGAUGUGCAUAGGAUACUGGAAAGCUAGAGACUGGUAGAGGCGAGCGGAAUUCCUGGUGUAGCGGUGGAAUGCGUAGAUAUCAGGAAGAACACCGGUGGCGAAGGCGGCUCGCUGGGCCAGUUCUGACACUCAUCCGCGAAAGCGUGGGGAGCAAACAGG
rnacentral:rRNA from 1 species